rnacentral:rRNA from 1 species
CUACGGGAGGCUCCAGUGGGGAAUAUUGCACAAUGGACGAAAGUCUGAUGCAGCAACGCCGCGUGGAGGAUGACACAUUUCGGUGCGUAAACUCCUUUUAUAUAGGAAGAUAAUGACGGUACUAUAUGAAUAAGCGCCGGCUAACUCCGUGCCAGCAGCCGCGGUAAUACGGAGGGCGCAAGCGUUACUCGGAAUCACUGGGCGUAAAGAGCGUGUAGGCGGAUAGAUAAGUCAGGAGUGAAAUCCUAUGGCUCAACCAUAGAACUGCUCUUGAAACUGUCUAUCUAGAAUAUGGGAGAGGUAGAUGGAAUUUCUGGGGUAGGGGUAAAAUCCGUAGAGAUCAGAAGGAAUACCGAUUGCGAAGGCGAUCUACUGGAACAUUAUUGACGCUGAGACGCGAAAGCGUGGGGAGCAAACAGGAUUAGAUACCCCCGUGUC